rnacentral:rRNA from 1 species
AACGAACGCUGGCGGCGUGCCUAACACAUGCAAGUCGAACGAGAAAGGGGCUUCGGCUCCGAGUAAAGUGGCGCACGGGUGAGUAACACGGGGUUAACCGGCCUCUAAGAUUGGGAUAACUCGUCGAAAGAUGAGCUAAUACCGAAUAAGACCACAGUUCCCGCGGGAACAGGGGUCAAAGGUAGCCUCUGCUUGCAAGCUAUCACUUAGAGAUGGGCCUGCGCACCAUUAGCUAGUUGGUAGGGUAACGGCCUACCAAGGCAAAGAUGGUUAGCUGGUCGGAGAGGAUGAUAAGCCACACUGGAAGUGAGACACGGUCCAGACUACUACGGGAGGCAGCAGUGGGGAAUAUUGCGCAAUGGGCGAAAGCUUGACGCAGCAACGCCGAGUGAGUGAUGAAGGCGUUCGGGUCGUAAAGAUCUGUCGGGAGGAACGAAUGCUCCUGAGGUUAACAGCCUCGGGAGGUGACGGUACCUUCAAAGGAAGCACCGGCUAACUCUGUG